GUGGGGAAUUUUGGACAAUGGGCGAAAGCCUGAUCCAGCCAUGCCGCGUGCAGGAUGAAGGCCUUCGGGUUGUAAACUGCUUUUGUACGGAACGAAAAGACUCCUUCUAAUAAAGGGGGUCCAUGACGGUACCGUAAGAAUAAGCACCGGCUAACUACGUGCCAGCAGCCGCGGUAAUACGUAGGGUGCGAGCGUUAAUCGGAAUUACUGGGCGUAAAGCGUGCGCAGGCGGUUAUAUAAGACAGAUGUGAAAUCCCCGGGCUCAACCUGGGAACUGCAUUUGUGACUGUAUAGCUAGAGUACGGCAGAGGGGGAUGGAAUUCCGCGUGUAGCAGUGAAAUGCGUAGAUAUGCGGAGGAACACCGAUGGCGAAGGCAAUCCCCUGGGCCUGUACUGACGCUCAUGCACGAAAGCGUGGGGAGCAAACAGGAUUAGAUACCCGUGUAGUCC
rnacentral:rRNA from 1 species